AGGCGUUUUAAAGCAAAGUGUAGAAUCUGGAAGGGCUGUGCUUUGCAAAGUCUUACGACGGUUCUCCGUUUACCAAAAGCCAGAUGUAGGCUGAAUUUUUCAGCUGAAGGAAAAUGGAAUGU
rnacentral:sRNA from 12 species